ensembl:snRNA U12 U12 minor spliceosomal RNA
AUGCCUUAAACUGAUGAGUAAGGAAAAUAACGACGCGGGGUGACGCCCGUGUCCUCGUACAUUUAACGAGACGAAUUUUUGAAGGGGCACAGGUCUGCCUGUUGAGGUGACUCGCCUACUUUGCGAGAUGCCUUGCGGGACUGGGACCUUCCCC